rnacentral:pre_miRNA from 1 species
AUACAAAGCACUUAGAGAUCUUGUUAACAUGCAGAUUCUGAUUCAGUUGGUCAGGGAUGGGACCCAAGAGUCUGCAUUUCUAUCAAGCUCCCAGGAGAAUCUGAU